UACGUAGGGGGCAAGCGUUGUCCGGAAUCAUUGGGCGUAAAGCGCGUGUAGGCGGCCCGAUAAGUCCGCUGUGAAAGUCGAGGGCUCAACCCUCGGAUGCCGGUGGAUACUGUCGGGCUAGAGUGCGGGAGAGGCGAGUGGAAUUCCUGGUGUAGCGGUGAAAUGCGCAGAUAUCAGGAGGAACACCAAUUGCGAAGGCAGCUCGCUGGAACGUAACUGACGCUGAGACGCGAAAGCGUGGGGAGCAAACAGG
rnacentral:rRNA from 1 species